CAAAUAAUCAUCUCAUAUCUUUAUUGGGAUGCAGCAGUUACAACUUAAUGGACAAAUUUAAUGGAGACCUUCGCCU